ensembl:lncRNA
UUUUUUUUUUUUUUUUUUUUUUUUAGGGCCACAGGGGCAGCAUAUGCAGGUUUCCAUGUUAGGAGUAGAAUUGGAGCUGUAGUUGCAGGCCUAUGCCACAGACAUAGCAACACAGAAUCCAAGCCACAUCUGCGACUUACACCACAGCUCACCACAACGCCCUAUCCUUAACCCACUGAGUGAGGCCAGGGAUCAAACUCACAUCCUCAGGGAUACUAGUCGGGUUUGUUACCACUGAGCCACAGUGGGAACUCCCCAUCAUGCAUAAUUUUUAACAAAAAAGAAAAACUAAAAAAUUGUUUUCCUGUUUUAUAAAAUAUACUUGUCCAAACUUCCUAGUGCAAAUUUCAAAAUCAGCAUUUAUUUACUGUAUGAUACAUACUAUUAUGUAAUCAGUAUCUCUCAGAGACGUAUUAGCUAUAGCUUGUAAAGAAUAAAUGCUUCUGUUGGGAGUGAGCAAGUUCUCUACUGCCUUACUCCUCAUCUUUAGCCCAUAUCAUCCUUGUAGCUUUUAGGCCCUGCAGCUGACUCUCAGCUCUUGCUCCACCUGGGGAUUCAAGGGACCCCUCCUCCCCCAGAAAAGAAAAUACUCUUGUUUCAAAUGCAGCUUCAUAUCCUGGCACAGUGGCCAACACUAAUAGCAUAGAAUUUUGGACACUGUAUAAACAUUCACUCUUCUACUUAAUUCCUUGGAUUCUUGUCUUCCUACUUAUAGCUAAUAACAUGCAAUGCUUAUCUAAAGCAUAUGAUUUACAUAUGUCUUUUUUUUUUUUUUUGGUCUUUUUUGCUAUUUCUUGGGCCGCUCCCACGGCAUAUGGAGGUUCCCAGGCUAGGGGUUGAAUCGGAGCUGCAGCCACCUGCCUACGCCAGAGCUACAGCAACACUGGAUCCGAGCCGCGUCUGCAACCUACACCACAGCUCAUGGCAACGCUGGAUCGUUAACCCACUGAGCAAGGGCAGGGACUGAACCCGCAACCUCAUGGUUCCUCGUUGGAUUCAUUAACCGCUGCGCUACGACAGGAACUCCUACAUAUGUCUUCUUAUUUUUAACUAAUCCAGUGGAGGAAGUACCUGUGUUAGGUUGGGAGUUUUAGCAGCAGGGCCUGAGACAGGGGCUCUUGAGAUAGUGACUUAUUGAGGAAUAUUCUCAAAGAAGGGAAGUGAGAGAAAUACGAUGGGGCAGGGACGAAAAACUAAGCAAAACAUGGUCUCCCCAGGUGGCUAGUAUCAGCUUGAUUCCACAGGAAACUCUGGAGCACACAAAGUACCACAGAGUUGUUCACAAUUUGACCACAAGGAGGUGGAUGUUAGGUAUCCCUAACUCAGUCACUGGCUACUCAUAAGGCGGGGGAUGGUCAGUGAACUCUUAGUAACCACCACUCACACCAGGCUGGGUGUGUGGUCCAACACCGUGGAUCAGAGCAGGGCAGCACAGCAUCCUCUGCAGUCCUAUUAUCCAGCCAGAAUAACAUAUUUAGUAAGUAAUAAAGAAUGCAUUUAUGUUCUCCUUAACCCCAAAUUUAACUGUUUUCUAGACCUGGGGGUUUGUUCUGAUCUCUGGUAAUUUGGCAAGCCUCAAAACUGCCUGUUCUCUCAAUGCUAGAAUCAAACCAAAAAGUCUGCUUUGUAGAAAGAAGACCAAGUACAGGGUAAGUAAGGCUGAGGGAUGAGCAGCUAUCUCUAUCUUCUACUCCUCCAUUUCUAUCUCUUCACUGGUCAUACUUUUUUUCUUUUUUUUUCUUUUUCUUUUUUCUUUUUUUUUCUUUUUUUUGCCAUUCCCACAGUAUGUGAAAGUUCCCUAACCAGGGAUCAAACCCAUGCCACAGCAGAGACCCAAGCUGCUGCAGUGACAACACCAGAUCCUUAACUUGCUGUGCCACAGGGGAACUCCUUUCUUUUUCUUUUCUGCAACUGGAUUAGGAGUAAGACCUUCAAGAUCUGAGUUGAAGCCCCAGGAAGGCCAGGGAUUCCUAAAGUUUGAGGAUUUAAGUUGUUACUGGGCAGGAAAUCACAGAAUGUGGUAGGUAAUGUCCAAAUCACUAGAGAUACUGCAUUGCCACUGGCACCGCAUGAUGAAUGUUCAAGAACAUCAAGCUGUUACUAUUUUAACAUCACUGCCUGAUUCUGCUGUAGUGCAGCUUACUGCAUCCCAGUGACCAGGCAGCAACAUCAGUCUAUUUUAGCCCGUUUCAUUUGACACAUCAUUGAAUAAUAAUGUGAGCUAAUUUUAAACAGUCUAGCAACCUGCCUUUGCAUGCAAUGUGUCCUUGCUGAGAAUAUUUUCACUGUGCACUGAAAAAUUUACUAUUCUUGAGUGUACAACUCAUUUUGAUUAAAAAUGACAUGUGAUUUUAUUUCACCUGUAUAUGUGACUAGAAGCGACCCAGUGUCUCCUUUGGAAAUACUGUGACUUUACUCCUAGAAGGGGGAUAUUGUACAGUGACUGGAGAAAUAUUGGGGAAACUAUCAGACUUCUAUUUUGUCUUGAGGUGGUUCCAAGUGACCAUUUCAUAUGGCAGGAAACUGUCUAAGAUGAGUGACUCAGGUGAAGGAGCAGUAAUUUAUUUUUUAACCUCAAUCACAUUGUGUCAUUUGGCAGUUUUCUGUUGGUAAAUCUCUCUAUUCAUCCCUGAGUCAUUUUGCCAGGGCAAAGCUGAGUGAGUCUGUCAGGACCGAGCUGUCAGGGCUAAUCACCAUGGUUAGAUUUGGUAAUACUCCCAUCUGUGCUGAAUGAAAUGUAAGAGCUCAAUUGACUCACAAAAUCCUCAAGCCUAAUGCUCCUAUACUUAUGAUGAUGCUGUGACUGGAGAGACUGGCUAAAGAACGACUUUUCCCUUCUUCUUCCUUCUGUCCUCACUCAUUCCCCCACACCCAUUUGUCUAUAUGUUAUUUAGGAGAAAUCUCUAUAUCCUUAGUCACUAUCUCAAUGUCCAUUUAGAGGGAUAAAGAAAAGAAAAGAAGUAUACUUUUGCCUCUGAAUCCAGGACUUGUCCCCAGAUGUCUUUCUUUCUACAGACAGUAUCUUCCUUCAGCCACAUUUUUUCUCUGCCUUAAUUUCUUUAAAGAGGAGAUAAAUACCAAAUACCUGUCACAACCUUCUCACUUCCUCUUAGCUUCUUAUCUCACAGUAAGUGUAGCUCUACUUUUACAACUUCAUUGAAGUCACUCUUGUCCAUAUAAACCAUGUCUUUAUAAAUGCUAAAACUAAUGGACACUAGUAAGCCAGUCCUUUGACUAUUUCAUUUCUUGCAUUAUUUCAUGAUGCUAUUUAUCCCCCCUGUUAAACAAACCAAGCCAUCCAAACAGAAAGUCCUUUUCUAAUCGUGGCUUGGGACAUUCCUCUCUUAAUUGAAUUUUUAGCCACUUCCUCCUGGCUGUGGCUUCUUGAUUCAUUGGAGGCACUCCUGAGACUACAUCUUAAACAUUGAUGUUUUCCAGAGCUCCAUGCUUGUUCCUUCACUUUUCUUAUUCUCUAAAACUCCCUGGGAAAUCUGCCAACAGCUAUGGCUUCAGGUGUCACUUGUGUGAACUUUUUGCCAAGCCAUCACUAUUUAUUUACAAUCAUUUUCCUAUUCAUAACAUUUCGAGGGUUCAGAGUAUAACUGAUCAGUGAAUGCCAUCCAACAUAGAAUUAAUUCAUAUCAAAAUACUAUGCAUUUCAGUCCUAGGUACACCUUCCUACUAAUCUGAUUCAAGAAAUGUUGAUUCCUCUUUGAUAUUUGUCUUCCUAAUGAUCCUACCUAUCAUUCGGCUCAAGUUUCCAGUGCUUGACAUAAAGUCUCUUGCACCAAGCACAGCACUGGGCACAAAGUAAGUUCUCAAUAUACUUGGGUUGAAUGAAACCGAAAAGGAUGCAUAAUUGGAUAUAAAAAGAUAUUGAACCAAGAGAAAGUAAGUUACAUGAUAGCAGUGAUGGAAGCUCAAGGUGCUGGGUGAACUGAUCAGAGAAAUAAGAGCGCAGGUACUAAGUAGUUGUAUAACCUUGAAGUUGUAUAACCUGAUUCUCAUAUUCUUUAUCCAUAAUAUGAGGGGGGUUGGGCAAUGUGAUCCCUAAAGUCUUUUUCAACACUAAAUAGUCAUGACUUGUCCUGUAGCAGGGAGAGGUCUCAUUGCAGACUAUCUCUGGGGUGGUAGAAGCAUGAUGUUAAGAAUUCCAUGUAAGAUAUACACCCAUAUAUUUUCUUAUCUAAUACCUCAGUUGAAGGGAUGCCACAGAGAUGAGCUUGUCAGAAACUGAUAUUUCCCUUUUCAUAAAAUGUUUUCAUCAUUCCUCUUUGUAACUGAGUAGUCCCCAAAGAGUCUGGGUAUUUGUUUUGCACAAACUGCACAGAUGCAGAGGCACACACCAGAAGCUUUAUCUGUCUGCCUUCCCAUGGAGCAGUUGAGUAAAAAGUAAAUGAUGUGUCUAAACAGCAAACUGAUUCUUUCCAAAUAUAGGCACUUAAUUACUUCUCUCGUCAUAAUACCUGGGGGAGGAAGAGUAUCUCUAGGUACUGAAAUCCAAGCUGAGGUUUCAAAUUAGACAGGUUAUUUUGGAAUUUAGCCAACUUUAGACAUCCCCAUACCUUUGAUUUUUCUAAUAAAAUGCUUUAAAUCAAAAUGAAGAGAUUGCAUUUGGAUAUAUUAUUAUGUGACAAUGGGGUAUUUUUAAGCACUACUUUAAAUAAGCAACAAAAUGAAAUUGAUGAAUACAUAUGGAAAUAAGCUUAUGAAGAUAAAUAUCCUGCAGGUGCUGCUCCCUUUUUUUAAAGUAAUUAAACAAUUCAAUGUGUUCAGUCUUGGAUAUCUGCCCUGCUAAUCUUAGUUCACCUAUAGCUUUGACUGACAGUAAUCUAAGCUCUUAACUCAUCAGUAUAGGCCUUAGCUCUGAAGAGAAACAGGAAGAAAGAAACAGGUUUGAACUUUGCUGCAGAUUCAUGACAUCAAAAAGCUAAACUCAAAGCAAGGGACACCUCUAUUCCUUACCUCCACCUCCUUGAAAUGUUUUCACUUGGAAUCAACCAUUAAUCAGCCAAACCAAAAACAACUGUUGUAUCAGCUUGUGUAGUGUUAUUAAUAAUUUCAAGAAAAAUGUUACUAUCACAAAUUUCUCAUUUUUUUUUCCUCAAGGCAAGGGGUAAAUCUAACAUAAUAAUAUGAAAUUUUGAACUGCAUUGUUUUUCAUUGUAAAUAUACAUGUUUAUUGUAGAAACAAAUACGGAAGAUAAAGAACAACAACAACAAAAAAUUCACCUGCUUUGUCUGUCAAGAGUCCUGGCAGGAAACAGACACACUCUAAGGGUUUUUUUCAUGGAAAGAGGUUUGACAAUGGGAUUAUUUACAGGAGUGUGGGCAGGGUUAAGAGAACCCGAAAGGGACAGCAAAACACCCAGAGUCUACAUCCUUGGGAAAUCGUUACAAUUCCUCUGCUUACAAGGGCACAUGGAGGGGAGAGUGUUCCUGAAACUGGACUAGAAAUAUAACCUUGGAAGAGUGGUCAUCCAAUUCUUUCUGUGUAAUGAGUUCAUACAUGGAAAUGAAAACCCCAGCCAGAGAGGAGGAGGCAGGAAAAUAAAUCACCCAACCUUGUUAUUCUGCAGUGUCAUUUCUGAGAUUGCCGCUCACUGGCUGAACCAGGAGGAGGCGACAGAGUCUCAGAGACGGAAUCUGUAGAAAACAACACCCAAGGGCCUGUCAGGCCAGAGAAAUUGGGAACAGAUGUAAAAGAGCAGAGAGGGGUUCCUAUUGUGGCUGAGUGGGUUAAGAACCUGACACAGAGUCCAUGAGGAUGUGGGUUCAAUCCCUGGCCUUGCUCAGUGGGUUAAGGAUCUGGCGUUGCUCUGAGCUGUGGUGUAUGUGGCAAAUGUGGCUUGGAUCUGGCAUUAUUGUGGCUGUGGUAUAGGCCAGCAGCUGCAGCUCCGAUUCAGCCCUUUGCUGUGGAACUUCCACAUGUCAUGGGUGUGGCCCUAAAAAAGACAAAAAAGAAAAAGAACAGAGAGUUACCAACACACCAAUGAUCCUGUCACUUAGACAUUUCCACUGUUAAGAUGAUGAUAUAAAUCUCUCCAGACUCACCUCCUAUAAUGCUAUAAUGCUAUAACUGCUAUAACAGCAGUUCUUUUUCCCAUUGCACUCUAUCUAAUUAAGAGUUUGUGUGUACAUGUCAGUCUUUCAAAAGGA